AAGACAACUAUUCGACAGGGAGCCGAUUGCGAUAUAUGCGCUAGUCAAAGAGUGACAACAGCAGAGACAACUUGACAAGAGAAGACGAACAGGACUUGUCUCUGGCAACACUGCCCUAGUCCUGUCACUCCCAGACAUUUAUCAAAUUUCCAGUGAUUACGUGAUUACUUAACACUAAGUUCCAGGCCAAAAUAAUGUACGCAGCAACUGUUCCCAGACUGGCUCAAGGAGCCCAAAAGGUGGCCCAACAGACUAGAAACAUGUCCGUGUUGUCUGGACCACCAACAGUAAGAAUAUCUGGCACGGAAAAAUUGCUCCAUGGACUGGCCAUUGCCAUCGGGAUGACCGCUACCCCCGCAUGGGUACUAGUCAACAUUAAACACUACAAAGGCUCGUCUUAAGCGCAUUUUUGUUAAAUGAAACGCUUGUAGUUAAGUAAUAAACGUAGAUUUAAGACCAA